rnacentral:lncRNA from 1 species
UUUAUUCUGAUGGAGAUUAGUGUAAGUCCAUAGAGUGGCUUCUGAUAUCCUUACUUGUUUUAGGAGACAGGUAUAAGACCAUUGAGUGGCAUCCAGUAUCCGCUUUUAUUUACUUUCAUCUGUUACCAUGUUCAUAUUAUUGCUCAUUUGUAGCCUAUUCCUAAGGACCCACUUGAAUCAUCUUCUAUAUGAUUUCAAGAGGCGGACCCUCCUAAGAAGUUUUACAUACACACCAUUCCAUUCACCCCAUUGUGUCCUACCUUUUCACACAUGUUUUAAA